rnacentral:rRNA from 1 species
CCGGAGAGGGAGCCUGAGAAACGGCUACCACAUCUAAGGAAGGCAGCAGGCGCGCAAAUUACCCAAUUCUAACAGCAUAAGAGAGGUAGUGACAAGAAAUAACAGUACAAGGCAGUUAAAAUGCUUUGUAAUUGGAAUGAUAGAAAUUUAAAUACUUUUUAAAGUAUCAAUUGGAGGGCAAGUCUGGUGCCAGCAGCCGCGGUAAUUCCAGCUCCAAUAGCGUAUAUUAAAAUUGUUGCAGUUAAAAAGCUCGUAGUUGAAUUUUUGCUAAAAAUAACCGGUCUGCUUUUAUUAAUAAAAGUGGUAUCUUGGUGUGUUUCUAGCAAUAAUGUCCUUUGAAAUGUUUUUUACUUCAAUGUAAAAAGCAAUUUUCAGGA